rnacentral:misc_RNA from 1 species
GAAGCAUGAUAGUGUAGAUGUGGGGUUCUCUGAAAAGCUUAAUUUAGAUAGAAGUUCUGGGGAUGAUUCAAUAGAAGAUGCAAUAGAGAAUAAGAUUGAUUUGGGGAAUAAUCCUGAAGAAAUGGGAGAGAAGAACAUUAAAAACGAGGGCCUUAUACCCAAAGAGGAAAAGGUUGCAGACAUAACAGUGCGAGGCUCAACUGC